rnacentral:lncRNA from 1 species
AUGUCUACUGGCUAUAGAGAGGAGAAGAAGGAGGAAAGAUCUUGGUCUCCAAAGUCUGAUCUGCAGGACUCCCACAUAGUUAACUGGGUGCGUUUCACAUUUAUCUGCCUUAGCUGGGGCUCUGAGUCACCCUUGUUUAGUACUGAAUCUGCGCCUUCACAGACUCUCAUGCUUCACAACGCUGAGUUCUGCAGAAGGCCUUCCUCUCUCCCAUGCAGGGGAUCUCGAAGUCAUCACUAUCAGACAGAGGGAAACGAGGAGGCUGCAGGAGGACGAUUAACCUGUGUUACACUUGAGUAAACCCAGAUUAAGAAACAAAGGAGCAAAAAGUGUGAAUUCAAAAAGUGGUUACACAAGCUCGUGGAAGAUCAGUCGAAAAAUUCAGCUGUCCCCAAACAGCCGCAAACUCAGAAAGUCCCUGAAACCCAAGUUACCAAAAGCCAGGAAGGCAUACCAGUGUCCUAUUCUUAUACGGCUUCCCGAACUAGCCACUGUCAGAGACAGGGUACUGGGCUAGAGGGAAUUUUGGUUUGGCCCAGAACAGACUUUCUUAUAUUAGCAGAAGUUGUUGAGGAUCUCUUGCUAAUCUUUAAUGAGAGCAGCCUUGCACCACCAGGGCAAAGCCAUGCAGACAACCGAUUCCUGCUCGCUUGCUUUGACCUCUCACCCUCACCAUCUUGCCCUCUCACAUGCUUCUGAAAGUCUGAAACACAGCAAAAGCUAUUGGUACAACAUACAUCCUAGGAGUAAACUUGGUGAAAGGAGUGCCACACCUGGAACCUAGUGUCCCUUUCCUGCAUUCACAGCUCUUGGUGUUUGAAUGCGGCUGCACAGGGUUAAAGCUUACUUGGUGUAUGGUCAUUCAAGACCCAAAUGGAUCAGCAUCUCUGGUGCUCCCACCUGUCUGCUCACACUGCUUCUUGUCCAGAGCCAUCCAUGAGAUGCCGCUGCACACACUGCGUGCACUAGUGCACAAGAGAAGAAACAACACACAGCUGCCUUCUUAUAAUUACCAUCCAUCACUCUACCUGCAGAUAGGGAAACGAAUAAAACAGCUUUCCUCUUUUCUCCUCA